rnacentral:rRNA from 1 species
GGCGAACGGGUGCGUAACACGUGAGAAAUCUGCCCCGAACUUGGGAAUAACAGUCGGAAACGACUGCUAAUACCGAAUACCUUCACGACGUCGCAUGGCGAUGUGAAGAAAGCUUUAUGCGGUUUGGGAGGCUCUCGCGGCCUAUCAGCUUGUUGGUGAGGUAACGGCUCACCAAGGCAUCGACGGGUAGCUGGUCCGAGAGGAUGAUCAGCCACACUGGGACUGAGACACGGCCCAGACUCCUACGGGAGGCAGCAGUGGGGAAUAUUGCACAAUGGGCGCAAGCCUGAUGCAGCGAUGCCGCGUGCGGGAUGAAGGCCCUAGGGUUGUAAACCGCUUUCAGUAGGGAAGAAAAUGACGGUACCUACCGAAGAAGGUGCGGCCAACUACGUGCCAGCAGCCGCGGUGACACGUAGGCACCAAGCGUUGUCCGGAUUUAUUGGGGCGUAAAGAGCUCGUAGGCGGUUCACUUAGUCGGGUGUGAAAACUCUGGGCUCCACCCAGAGACGCCACCCGAUACUGAUGUGACUUGAGUACUGUAGGUGAGUGGGGGAUUCCUG